rnacentral:rRNA from 1 species
UACAGAGGCCUCGAGCGUUAAGCGGAAUCACUGGGCUUAAAGCGCGUGUAGGCGGAUCGUUAAGUGUCUUGUGAAAUCCCACGGCUCAACCGUGGAACUGCUGGGCAUACUGGCGAUCUUGGGCCACUCAGGGGCGACCGGAACAAGCGGUGGAGCGGUGAAAUGCGUAGAUAUCGCUUGGAACGCCAAAGGUGAAGACAGGUCGCUGGGGGUGUGCCGACGCUGAGACGCGAAAGCCAGGGGAGCAAACGGG